UCCUCCAGAAUCCAGCAAAGAAUCAUUAAGAUAUUUUCAAAAUGGAAAGUUUCCAUGCCAAGAAAUUUCACCUUCCUCUCUGAAGUAUGAUUUCCUGAUAUCCUUAAAGAUGAGGAAAUUAAGACCCCCAAGAGAUGAAGUGACUUAUUUAAUGUAAAAGAUCAAGAAUGGGGCUGGGCAUACAGUGUGUGCUAAGGAAAGAAUGCUUGGAUUGAAUUGAACCCUGCAGAACUUGGACUCUUCAGAGACACCGAUUUUGGUCUUGGGUGAAUACUUGCCUCAAGUUGGACAAUUAGCAGUGAACAGCAAUGGGCUCAAAGAGAUAUACCAAGUGUGUAGUCUUGUUUGCCCAACUAAGUUAUAAAUACCACGUUGUACUAACUUUUGUGUAACCCACAGCACUUUGAACAGUACUUGUUAUAGAUUAGACCUUCGUUAAAUCCAUUUUAAUUGAUUGACUGUCCCCAGAUCAAAAACCAGAUCCUGGUCUGUGUCUCAUGCAGCGACAAGAAUAGCUUUGCUAAAAAGAUGGACACUGUUGGACUGAAGAAGCACUUUUCAUGUAGUUCUUUGCCUUAAAUCGUCCUUGAAGAAGAGUAUCUGGGAUCCUGUGCUGCCUUUUAGAAACUGGACAUUUUGAAAAGUGCUACAAUAAAGAUUAUACUGUAUUA